rnacentral:rRNA from 1 species
GAAAGUAAACAAGGGCGCAUGGAGGAUGCCUAGGCUCUCGGAGGCGAAGAAGGACGUGAUAAGCUGCGAAAAGUUACGGUAAGGCGCAAAUAGCCCUAGACCCGUAAAUAUCCGAAUGGGGCAACCCGGCCAGCAAUGGUCAUACCGCCAAGCGGUAAGCCAACGCGGGGAACUGAAACAUCUAAGUACCCGCAGGAAAAGAAAAUAACAAUGAUUCCGCCAGUAGUGGCGAGCGAACGCGGAACAGCCCAAACCACUCGUGUUACGGCACGAGUGGGGUAGAAGGAUCCACGAUACGGCAAGAAAUAAGUUAGCAGAAUACGAUGGAAAUCGUAGCCAAAGACGGUGACAGCCCAGUACGCGAAAACCGACAGAAGCCCAGUGGACACCUGAGUAACCCAGGACACGAGAAAUCCGGGGCGAAUCAGCGGGGCCCAUCCCGUAAGGCUAAAUACUCCCGAGAGACCGAUAGCGAACCAGUACUGUGAAGGAAAGGUGAAAAGAACCUCGAACAGAGGAGUGAAACAGACCCUGAAACCAUGCGCCUACAAGCGGUCGGAGCAUGUUAAAAUGUGACGGCGUGCCUUUUGCAUAAUGAACCUACGAGUUACUCUCGCUGGCAAGGUUAAGCGAUUCAGUCGCGCAGCCGAAGCGAAAGCAAGUCCGAAUAAGGCGUACAGUCAGCGGGAGUAGACGCGAAACCAAGUGAUCUACCCUUGGUCAGGUUGAAGGUUGGGUAACACCAACUGGAGGACCGCACCGAUAAGCGUUGAAAAGCUUACGGAUGAACUGAGGGUAGGAGUGAAAGGCCAAUCAAACUUGGAGAUAGCUCGUACUCCCCGAAAUGCAUUUAGGUGCAGCCUCGAAGUAAAGUGAUAGAGGUAGAGCGACUGAUAAGAUGCGAGGGCUUCACCGCCUAUCAAGUCUUGACAAACUCCGAAUACUAUCACUUGAUCUUUGGGAGUGAGGGCAUGGGUGCUAAGGUCCAUGUCCGAAAGAGGAACAACUCAGACCACCAGCUAAGGUCCCGAAAUAAGGGCUAAGUUGAAUAAACGAAGUAAAACUGCAAAGACAGCUAGGAUGUUGGCUUGGAAGCAGCCAUUCAUUUAAAGAGUGCGUAACAGCUCACUAGUCGAGGAGUUUUGCAUGGAUAAUAAUCGGGCAUAAGCCCUUUACCGAAGCUGUGGAUGUCGUAAGACAUGGUAGGGGAGCAUUCCGGCGGCGACGAAGGCCGUCCUCGAGGACGACUGGAGCUUUCGGAAAAGCAAAUGUAGGUAUAAGUAACGAUAAAGGGGGCGUGAAACCCCCUCGCCAUAAGACUAAGGAUUCCUGAUCAACGCUAAUCGGAUCAGGGUAAGUCGGGCCCUAAGGCGCAGCCGAACGGCGUAGCCGAUGGAAGAAACGGUAAAGAUUCCGUUACUGGAUAUAGGAGCGAUGUGGAGACGGAGAAGUGACACACCCGCCUGCCGACGGAAGCGCAGGUUAAAGGAAGUAGGUAAACGCCGGGUAGGCAAAUCCGCCCAGCGUGCCGAAGCUGACAGUAUCGAGAGCCCCCGGGCAAUCGAAUAGCGGUGGUAAUCAGGCUCCCAAGAAAAUCCGCUAAGCAUAUUCUAUAUUCACCCGUACCCCAAACGGACACACGUAGUCGGGUAGAAUAUACCAAGGCGCUCGAAAGACUCACGGUUAAGGAACUAGGCAAAUUGACCCUGUAACCUCGGGAAAAAGGGUCCCCAGUAAGAUGGGGCGCAGAGAAUAGGUCCAGGCAACUGUUUAACAAAAACACAGGGCUGUGCAAAAUUUCAAGAUGAAGUAUACAGCCUGACACCUGCCCGGUGCCGGAAGGUUAAGAGGAGAGCUUAUCGCAAGAGAAGGCUUGAAUUGAAGCCCCGGUAAACGGCGGCCGUAACUAUAACGGUCCUAAGGUAGCGAAAUUCCUUGUCGGGUAAG